CACAGAAAUGGAAGAACCCACAGGCUGUUGUCUUCCAUGGCAUGGGGCGCAUACGCCUGCCGCGGCACAGGGGCGCGGUCCCCGUGAAACCCCUCGCAGGCAAAGAGACGAAGCUGCCUGCGGUUCUUUUGUCCUGUUUUCCCGCCUCUGGCUGCACUGCAGACGGGCAGGUAAAGCAGACAGGACGUGCUUAAGCCCAUUUUUACGCCCUUUAGGACUAUUCACCACGUCACAACAAGGUGGAGACGGCUGCUGCCCAACCUCGACUGCCAAGAAGGCUGUUUGCUGUCAGGCACCAAAUGCCAGCUUGUGAAGCCAUUGUCACAACCAGUGCUGACAGCUCUUGAGCUACAUGAGUCACUAGAGACCACAGCCAAAGCCAACUGUGUUGGAACCUGAGACCUACCCUGCCUGUCAGGGUGAGGCGAUGGCUCCAGCUGGUGUGUGAUGGGUGCCACCCUUUUCUCGCUCAUGGCUUAAGUUCCUGUUGGGAUGUAAUGAAGUACAGAACAUGGAUCUGCUUCCCAGCACUGCAAAGCGGAAGAUUUUCAUAUGUAUCUUAUUUCUCUUAGUAUUCAAAGUGUUCUACAGAUUUUUAACUGCCAAGAUCGUUAGAGAAUAUCCCACAUCUUUUGUUUUAGUGUCUGAAUGUUCACUUUGUUUAUGUUUGUGUGUACUGAACAUCAAAGCUGGUGUUCUGUAUUAGAGCAGAGGGUAAAGAUCUUUGACAUUUUCAUUGUGUAUCACCUACCAUAAGUAGCUGACAAAGUUACUCCUUCAGCAGUUGCCCAAAAGACUGCUAUCUAUUUUAAUUCAUUGCGAUCACUAAACUGUCACCUCAAACUUUCUAGUUUGCUUCUGUUCUCCAUUUACCUCAAUCAGCAGUUGUUAAACUGCAACAAAACCUACCACAAUUAGGAGCAGAGCCCUGUCAAUUUGCACUAGAGCUACUCUGUAUCUUGUAUCACUGUUUGCAUUUGAAAAAUUGCACAAUCCUUAGACCAAGGUGGUGAAGAUGUUGUUGAGAGUUUUAAUUAUGUGUUACAGUCUGGAAUGGGAGGGGCAAGCAAGUCUUCUCAUGUCAUACAUGAAACUGAAACUUUGAUCUGAAGAUCUUCUAUUUUUGUCUCGCACUAAUAAAUUUUACAUGACCUUUCAUCCCACUGUAGAUGACAAAA